AUUGAACGCUGGCGGCAGGCCUAACACAUGCAAGUCGAACGAGUGGCGGACGGGUGAGUAAUGUAUGUGAAACUGCCUGAUGGAGGGGGCUAACUACUGGAAAGGGUAGCUAUUACCGCAUACCAUCGGAUGAGUACAGAUGGGCUUAGAUAGUAGGGGGGGUAAAGGCUCACCUAGGCGACGUUCCCUAGCGGGUCUGAGAGGAUGACCAGCCACACUGCAACGGGGACACGGUCCAGACUCCUACGUGAGGCAGCAGUGGGGAAUAUUGCACAAUGGGCGCAAGCCUGAUGCAGCCAUGCCGCGUGUAUGAAGAAGGCCUUCGGGUUGUAAAGGACUUUCAGCGGGGAGGCGUUACCCGCAGAAGAAGCACCGGCUAACUCCGUGCCAGCAGCCGCGGUAAUAC
rnacentral:rRNA from 1 species